GAUGAACGCUGACAGAAUGCUUAACACAUGCAAGUCGAUGGGGAAGUGGUGCUUGCACCAUGGUAACCAUGGCGGACGGGUGAGUAACGCGUAAGGAACUUGCCUGCGGGACUGGGAUAACAGCAGGAAACUGCUGAUAAUACCGGAUAAGGUCAUUAAGCUGCAUAGCUUAGUGAUGAAAGGAGACGCCUGCGGAGAGCCUUGCGUCCUAUUAGCUAGUUGGAGGGGUAACGGCCCACCAAGGCGAAGAUAGGUAGCCGGCCUGAGAGGGUGGACGGCCACAAGGGGACUGAGAUACGGCCCUUACUCCUACGGGAGGCAGCAGUGGGGAAUAUUGGACGAUGGGGGCAACCCUGAUCCAGCAAUUCUGUGUGCACGAAGACGGUUUUCGGAUUGUAAAGUGCUUUCAGCAGGGAAGAAGGAAGUGACGGUACCUGCAGAAGAAGCGACGGCUAAAUACGUG
rnacentral:rRNA from 1 species